ACGGGAUUUGGCCUCAUUUAACCCAAAAAUACUAGUUUCUCUCAAGUUGUUCAAGAAUAAGAGUUAGGGUUCCUAAAUCAAGACCCCAAUCAUCAAUAUUCCUCCGUUAACUUUUUAAGAAUCAUGAAACUAAGGUAUGCAGAUGUUGAUUCUUCAGUCCCUUUCAUCUAAGAAGCUCAAAAGCCCUUUUCUAAAUUUCAAAGAUCUUAUGUUUAUGAGUUUUCAUGAUUCAUAUGAAU
rnacentral:lncRNA from 1 species